AUUGAACGCUGGCGGCAUGCCUUACACAUGCAAGUCGAACGGUAACAGGUCUUCGGAUGCUGACGAGUGGCGAACAGGUGAGUAAUACAUCGGAACGUGCCCAGACGUGGGGGAUAACGAGGCGAAAGCUUUGCUAAUACCGCAUACGAUCUAAGGAUGAAAGCAGGGGACCGCAAGGCCUUGUGCGUUUGGAGCGGCCGAUGGCAGAUUAGGUAGUUGGUGGGAUAAAAGCUUACCAAGCCGACGAUCUGUAGCUGGUCUGAGAGGACGACCAGCCACACUGGGACUGAGACACGGCCCAGACUCCUACGGGAGGCAGCAGUGGGGAAUUUUGGACAAUGGGCGAAAGCCUGAUCCAGCAAUGCCGCGUGCAGGAUGAAGGCCUUCGGGUUGUAAACUGCUUUUGUACGGAACGAAAAGGCUCUGGCUAAUACCUGGGGCACAUGACGGUACCGUAAGAAUAAGCACCGGCUAACUACGUG
rnacentral:rRNA from 1 species